rnacentral:lncRNA from 1 species
CACCUGCAUAUCUCCAAGGGAUGCAGACUUUUUGAGCUCUGAAGAGUGGGAACCAUCAUUCUGAGAAAAAGUUCAGCAAGGAAAGUUUAAAACUACUGUGUCUGCUCCCUCUGGGUCAGGCCCAACGAAGGAAGGCAAACAAACGGAGACCUUCUUUCUUGCCCCACAUAGUUCUUAUGUAAUGGAAUGAGGAGAAUAAGAACUUGGAUAUUAACUUGAAUAAGAACAAAUGCCUUGCUGGGGACUUGCAGCCUGAGUGAGUGGGCAGUGGUGACAGGACAGAGAUGCCCCAGAAGGAAGUGGAAGGAACAAGUGUGUUCUGGAGUCUGGCCACGUGCUAUUUCCGUGGCUGCUCACCUUGCUCGUUGUCACCGUUGCCCGCUGUCAAGCAGGCAUUUGGCCCAAAAGGAAAGUCUGAAAGUGGAAGCGAAGCAUAAAGGUGUUUGUCAUGGGCGCAUGCUGGGCAUAGUACCCUGGAAGCCUUUGCUGUUAGUCACCAUAGAAGGGGCAAAGUGGCAGCUGCUCCAGCUCUGGGUAAAAUAAAUGGUUACUUUUGUCACCAAGCACAGUCCUCAGCCUGGCAGUGAGCUUGCCAGCUCUUUGAGGUGGGAGGACGGACUUGAGAGUGGCUCUUAAUACUUCCCAUGAAGUCUGACUGUCUUUUGUUCUCUUUCCAGGAGUCUGGAACGAAACAGGUGGAAGUAGCCAGGGUGUGGACAUUUCUCCAGAGGACACCCUCAGACAGUCAAGGCAAGAAGACGGGUGGGCAUCAGGCCUCAUCUUAGCAGUCAGGGGUGUUGCUCAGUUUCCUAUGGGUGGUGGUGGUGGGGCUGCCUGGGCUCUGCAUUCUCACCUCUCUGCAUGUCCCCAGCCAGGGCUGUUUCCUUUGCUGGCAGAAGAGCUGAACCCUGAGAGACUGCACACAGGCCUUGUGCUCUUCAGAAGCAUGAAGUCAGCCCUGCGGAAUGAGGCAGCUUGGCUGGUGUCCAGCAGCUCUAGAGGUGCUGUUUGUCGGGCUCUGGGUUCUUGCUGGCCUGCUUGCCAAGCUUUUGCAAGGGGCCAGAAGUGCUUUAGUUGCCCCAGCUGUGGGGUUGCAGGGGUGAGGAGGGGCUGGCAUGGGGGGGAUCUUGCCUGCAGAGUGUUGACUCUGUCCAUGUCAUGCCUCUGGAAGCAUCCCUUGCUGAAAUGGGGAGCUUGCUGGGCCAGGUUGCAAAGACACAGGUGGCCUUGGAUGAGGAACCUAACGCCUCUGAGCCACAGCUCUUUCCUCUGAAAAGUGAAGGGACUCCUCAUGUAAAGUGGCAGCCGCUUACAGGUUUAAGACAAGCAGAAAACAUCUCAUUUCCCCUGGUCACAGUGGGGGUAAGAAGAGGGCUGCUGACCCAGUCCUGGGGUGACUUGGUGACUGUUUGCACAAGAUAACUCAGCAUACUGGAAGCGUACACUUCCUUGUUUGAGCCACUUGGAGCUGGGUAUUCUUGUAGCUGACUCGGUUGACAAAAUUGCCUGUGUGUAGACAAGGUCUCAAAGGGAUAGGGGGGAUUGAGGGCAGGUGCUUUAGGGUAUCACUUUCCCCUGCCUGUGGGCUAAAGGCUCCCAGCUGAUAGGAAUAAUUCCUCUACGUGUCUCUCCAGCGGCUCCCACCUCGCCCAGCUGCCCUGUAGGGCUAGGGCUGAUUCGCUCUGCUACUGCAGAGACUCCUGCUGCUAAGAAGUAGCAGGGCUGAGACUUGCACCUUUGUUGUUCUCACUCCAAGCUGGGUGUGUGCCUCUUCAGAUGCACCAGGUCGUUCUUGGGGUAGCUGAGUUUCUGCUAGGGGGGUUGGAAAGGCCAGCAGUGCACAGCAGUGGGAAGGGACAGAGCAAGUACCACUUGGGGCAAAAUGGGUACAUCACAUACCAUGUCAGAUGUCCCCCAAACAAAAUCAAGUCCAUUUAAAAGCACUCUAGUGGGGCACGGUGGCACAUUCCUUUAAUCCCAGCAAUUUGGAGGCUAGGGCAGGAGGGUUACAAGCUCAAGGCUAGUCUGGACAAUUUAGUGAGACUUUGUUUCAAAAUAAAAAGGGUUGAGGGUGUAGCUCAGCAGCAGAGCACUUGCCUAGACUGUGGGAGUCUCUGGGUCUGAUCUCCAGCAUGGCCAAAAACCAAAUAAAAAAUAAAUAAAUUUACCAUAUGACCUGUACUCUUAGAGCAUGUAUGUGCCCAAGAGAAAUGAAAACAGAGGUCCAAAGCCUAGUACACCAGUAUUCUUAGCAGAAUCAUUCAUAAUAGCCUGAAUAUAAUCCACCAACUGAUGAAUAAACAAAGUGUGGUAUAUCCACAGAAUGAACCACUACUCCUCAGCAAUAAAAAGGGAAAACCUAUGGGUAUAUACAACAGGAUGGAUGACACUCAAAAACAUGCUAAGCGAAAGAAGCCAGACACAAAAGAUAUUGUACAGUUCCACUUGUAUGAAAUUUCUAGAAAAGAUAGUGGUAUAGAGUUUGGAAGCAGAUUAGCAGUUGCUUGGGGAUAUUCAUGGUGGGUGGGUGGGGCUGACUGCAGAUGGGCAGGAGGAGCUCCUGGGUUAUUUACGGAAGUGUUCUAAGAUGAAGUGGGGAGGGUGCACAACUGUAUGCAUUUGCACAACUAUAUGCAUUUAUAAAUGGGCCCACUUAUAAUGAGUUUUGUGUGAUAUAAAUUAUACCUCAAAGUUGUAAAAGAUGUUCGCAGCAGCAUUCUUCUUUUUUUGGGGGGUGGGGUGGGUACUCUACCGAUGAGCCACAUCCCCAGCCCUAUUUUUGUAUUUUUUUAAAUUUAGAGACAGGGUCUCUGAAUUGGUUUGUGCCUUGCUUUUGCUGAGGCUGGCUUAGAAUUAGCAAUCCUCCUGUCUCAGCCUCCUAAGCCGCUGGGAUUACAAGUAUGUGCCAUUGCACCCAGCAGCAGCAUUACUCAUAAUUGCCCCAAAUUGGAAAUAGCUCAACUGUUCAUCAACAGUAGACAGGAUACAUAACUUGUGAUGUGUUUAUUCAGUGGAACACAUUGAGCAGCAUUAAUGCGUGAAUUAGAGCUACGUGAGAAAACGUGGGCAUAAUGUUGAAUGAAAAAAAAUAUGAUUGCAAAAGAAUGAAAUGUAUUCUGUUUCAAUUUUGAUAAAUAUAAUGUUAAAUAGUAUUUUGCAGGUGGCCGUGAACUUCUAGGAGCAUCUGCACCAGGCCCCACACACCAAACCAAUAUAGUUUAAUUGCAGUGACUGAGCUGUGGUUGGUUGCACGAGGCACUGUAGCCAAUUAAGCUGUAAGCAAUUAACUAGUUAAUCUGUAACCAAUUGACUGGUUGAUUGACUAGGCUAUAGACAAUUAGGUUGUUUUCCCAGCCUCACUUCUGCUCUCCUGUAAGUGAUCACACUCUUCUGGCUUCAGGAGCUGCCGGAUUUGAGAAUUGUUUUUGUGUUGCUCAAACACACUUCACUGAAUUUAUUUGGUCUAAGAAAUUUUAACACCAAAAAAACAUGCAAAACUGAUUUAAGAAACAAACAUAUCUGGUACAGCUGUAGGGGAGAGCAAGGGAAUGACUGGGAGGCUUGGGACAGUGCUUCUCUGGGGACCGUGUGGGACCAGAGAAGGCGAUUGAAGGCGAUGGAAAAGCACAUGGUUUAUACAUAGUUAUUCUGUACACCUUGCGCUCGCUCGCUCUCUCUCUCUCUCUCUCUCUCUCUGUAUUUGUCUUUUGAAGCUACAUACUAAAAAUGAGAAGUUUUGCUGCAUGUGGUGGGGGUACCUAGUAGUCCCAGCUACUCGAGAGACCAAGGCAGGGGAAUCGCUUGAUUCUGGGAGUUUGGGGUCAGCCUGGGCCACACAGUGAGACCUUAUUUCCUAAAAAUAGGGGAAAAAAGUUUUGGCAAAGUGUGAAUUAUUUGCAGUCUUUGGUCCUUUAUUAUUAGUAGGUCCUGGCUAGACACUGCCGUUGAGAAUUACUGCUCCAGGCCUGGGGUGUAGCUAGUGGCAGGGCACUUGCCUAGCAUGUGUGAACCCUGGGUUCAGUCCUCUAUACCGCACAGACACAGACACACAAUGGAGAAGGGAGAAGUACUGCUUCAGGUUGUAACGCAUCCCCUCCUGGAUGAUCUGGCUUCUCUAUCCAGGAGGACACCCAUCUCCACUUGGAGUUGGUUAGAGGAGUUUCCAUCCUUUCUCCCCUGGGUGUGGGAGAUGGACUGGGAAGCAGAACUCGGGCAGCCCCAGGCAGGGCCUUUGGCUUCUUUGUGAAGUUGAGCAUGGCGUGGUAGAAGGAGGAAGUCCAGGGCAACCAGAGCAUCUACUCCAAUGGCCAACCCUAGGGAUCUCAGUGUGAGGCAGGAAACGUUGAACAAGGCUUUGUCUGUGGAGAGGGGAUGCUUCUACUGGGGGGUCUCGUGUGAUCGACUCGCCCUUUGUGCCUAACAGCCUUGCCGCACCACAGCAAGGACACCUGUAAUCUAGUGUAUGUCACAUUCAAGCUUGCUUUUGCUAAAUUUUUCUUGGGGUUAUAAUUUCACUUUUCCAUCUGUUUAUAACUUUGAAAUGUUGCAUGAACUGUGUCUUCAUGGUUGGCAUUUUAUGGUCCAAUGGGUUGUAAAUUAAAGAGUUAAGUUUAGGAAAUUAAACUGUGCACACACAACCUAGAAGGAAAUGCAUGUAAAUAUUUAUUCCUUUUCUGAACAGGGAGGGUCUUGAAAGGCAUUUAGAUGAUGGAUGAAAUUCCAAAGGAAAAAGCAAAAGAUCUAACAACCUGGGGGCAAAGAGGGUAUAAAACAGUAACAAUGACAAAGUUUUAAAGGGCCACAGCAAACGACUGUUUAUGGCAAAUAUCUUUAUAAAACAUGACAAAUACCUCCCCAAAAUAAGGUUUCUAAAAUGUCUAUUGCACAUAUGAGAAUACAGGGCCACUGUUUUUAUUGUUGAUAUUUACUUAUGUAAACAAACCUUGCUGGGCAAGGUGGUGCAUGCCUGUAAUCCCAGCUAUUUGGGGAGACUGAGGCAGUCAGGGAGACUGAUUUCAAGUCCCAGGCCAGCCUAGGCAACUUAGGCCCUGUCUCACACUAAAAAUAGAAGUGACUGGGGGUGGAGGCCAGUGGUAGAGCACCCCUGGGUUCAAUUCCCAGUGACAGCACACACACACACACACACACACACACGGCUGGGAGUGUGGCUCAGUGGUAGAGCACUUGCCUAGCAUGUGUGAGGCCCUGGGUUCCGUCCCUGGCACUGUAAAAACCAACCCAAGCAAAACCAUGAACUGAUUAGAAAAUGAACAUAGAAGUAGAAGAUAGGCAAUGUGUAUGGAAAAAGGAUUCUUGGAGGAAAUAAAAUAACUAAUAAAUAAAUAACUCACUUCAGAGUGUACCAAAUCGUCUCCACGUCUCCACACGACUCCACAGCACACUGUUCAAACCAGGGUGAAGGUACCUGUCGCCUCAGACACCAUUUCCGUAUGGUGAAAACAUUCAGAAUGCCUUUUUCUAGAUUUUUGAAAUACAUAUUUUACUUUUCUCAAUGCACAUUACUAUUAUAGUAAUUAAAACUAAAAUUAUUAAAAAUGUGGGGCUGGGGUUGUGGCUCUGUGGAAGCGCACUCGUCUGGCAUGUGUGAG